CUGGAGCGUGGAGGAGGAACGCAGCCUGUGAGCAGUUGUUUCUCUGCUAUGAUCUGUAACCGUUUGAAAACACUGGGAAGGAAAGAUGCUCUGAAGGUGGAGAACACUUACUAAGAAGUCAGCAAAGCAGUAUAAGGGCAGAACUGGUUGGUUGUGAGACUCGGGGGAAUAAGAAGUAGGUGGUGCUCAAUUCUGCUUUUGAAAGAGUAUCCUAAUUGGAAACCAAAACAACUGAUUCAUAUGGUAGAACAGCUUCACUUGGGAAUGAAUGCUAAUGUAGGAGAUUUCUGAAGGAUUCUCUGAAAGAGGUGCUUUUAGCCCUGGAAGUGCUCAGUGUGUGGGCCAACGUGACG